rnacentral:lncRNA from 1 species
CCAACGCAGAUGAGAUCUGUGCUGCUGAUCCGCCAUUGCCGAGUAAGUAGAGGAGGAGGAGAGAGGAGACGUGGAGAGAGGAAUUGUGCCGAAUCUUCACGAGUUUUGCGUAUUAUCCUGAAUUGGAGAUGGAGAGAGUAUUAGUUGCGUAUUAUCCACUGCUUUUUUGCUUUUUUGUGUAGAUCGCAUGCAUAGGUAUCAAACGACAUCCGAAAAAAGGAUACGAAGUGAAGUUGAAGCACAAUCUCUAUGGCGAUCUGAGUAUUCAGUUCUUCAAUGGGCAACGAGAGACGCAGAUGAUAAGGGAUAUCAUCGUGCACAAGCUGAACAAAAAAACUAAAGGAAAUAACUAUAUAACUGCAUAUAGAUACGGUGAUAUUGAUGCGGUUAUCCGUGGAAUGGGCAACGAGAGACGCAGAUGAUAAGGAUAUCAUCGCGCACAAGCUGAACAAAGAAACUAAGGAAAAUAACUAUAUAACGGCAUAUAAAUACGGUGAUAUUGAUGCGGUUAUCCGUGGAUUUUUUGAACCAAUCACAGUUAAAGAUAUGGUUAAACAAAUCCAGAAUAAAACCUUUCUUACGGCCUAUAAAUAGUUCAAACAGCAGCUACCAGUAAAUAUUGCAUAGCCACCAGUGGAUGGUAUACAGCCACCAAUGGAUAGCACGCAGCUCCCAGUGGAUUACAUGCAGCCACAAGUGGAUAAUCUGCAGGGCCUGCCAUCGUCCAACCUGCCUGAAGCGGACGAUGGACGAACUUUUGGACAAGUUGCGUGAUGCAUUUUAUUCUAUGAAUGAGUAAUCUGCCCCCUUUCAGCAGCG